UGCAAUCAGUGAUGUCAAUUCCGUAUUUGCUGAUUGUCUGUGAUUAUUAUCGACAAUUUCACCAUCUUUCGACUGAGAUUGCA
rnacentral:snoRNA from 1 species